rnacentral:rRNA from 1 species
UACGUAUGGGGCAAGCGUUGUCCGGAAUCAUUGGGCGUAAAGAGCUCGUAGGCGGUUCGGCAAGUCGGAUGUGAAAUCUCCACGCUCAACGUGGAGGGGCCAUUCGAAACUGCCGUGACUCGAGUCCGGUAGGGGAGUGCGGAAUUCCCGGUGUAGCGGUGAAAUGCGCAGAUAUCGGGAGGAACACCAGUGGCGAAGGCGGCACUCUGGGCCGGAACUGACGCUGAGGAGCGAAAGCGUGGGGAGCGAACAGG